rnacentral:rRNA from 1 species
UGGGGAAUAUUGCACAAUGGGCGCAAGCCUGAUGCAGCCAUGCCGCGUGUGUGAAGAAGGCCUCGGGUUGUAAAGCACUUUCAGCGAGGAGGAAGGUGGUGGACUUAAUACGUUCAUCAAUUGACGUUACUCGCAGAAGAAGCACCGGCUAACUCCGUGCCAGCAGCCGCGGUAAUACGGAGGGUGCAAGCGUUAAUCGGAAUUACUGGGCGUAAAGCGCACGCAGGCGGUUUGUUAAGUCAGAUGUGAAAUCCCCGGGCUCAACCUGGGAACUGCAUUUGAAACUGGCAAGCUAGAGUCUCGUAGAGGGGGGUAGAAUUCCAGGUGUAGCGGUGAAAUGCGUAGAGAUCUGGAGGAAUACCGGUGGCGAAGGCGGCCCCCUGGACGAAGACUGACGCUCAGGUGCGAAAAGGCGUGGGGGAGCAAAACAGGAUUAGAUACCCUGGUAGUCCACGCUGUAAACGAUGUCGA